UACAGUCAAAUCACGAUGAACACAUCGGUUCUCGUUCUGUCACCGAAGUUAAGCAUCAUAGAACCAGGUUAGCACUUAUGUGGGACCGCUUGGGAAGACCUGGUACUGUAAG